rnacentral:tRNA from 1 species
GUGAACAUAAUUUAAACAAAAUUCUAGUCUGUGACCCUAGGAAUGGAAACUAAUCAUUUCCUGUUCACC